UGUGAACCAUACCAAACUGUUGCCUCGGCGGGGUCACGCCCCGGGUGCGUCGCAGCCCCGGAACCAGGCGCCCGCCGGAGGGACCAACCAAACUCUUUUCUGUAGUCCCCUCGCGGACGUUAUUUCUUACAGCUCUGAGCAAAAAUUCAAAAUGAAUCAAAACUUUCAACAACGGAUCUCUUGGUUCUGGCAUCGAUGAAGAACGCAGCGAAAUGCGAUAAGUAAUGUGAAUUGCAGAAUUCAGUGAAUCAUCGAAUCUUUGAACGCACAUUGCGCCCGCCAGUAUUCUGGCGGGCAUGCCUGUCCGAGCGUCAUUUCAACCCUCGAACCCCUCCGGGGGGUCGGCGUUGGGGACCUCGGGAGCCCCUAAGACGGGAUCCCGGCCCCGAAAUACAGUGGCGGUCUCGCCGCAGCCUCUCCUGCGCAGUAGUUUGCACAACUCGCACCGGGAGCGCGGCGCGUCCACGUCCGUAAAACACCCAACUUCUGAAAUGUUGACCUCGGAUCGGGUAGGAAU
rnacentral:rRNA from 1 species